AACCCAUGGUGAAGGCACCUUCGCAAAAGGUCCUUGUAUCUCUCCCAUGCGUCAUAGAGUGUUUCUAAAUCCCUUUGCACAAAAGAAGAGAUAUCAUUAUGUAAUU
rnacentral:snoRNA from 1 species